rnacentral:rRNA from 1 species
AGAGUUUGAUCCUGGCUCAGAACGAACGCUGGCGGCGUGCCUAAUACAUGCAAGUCGAACGAGAAAGUGGCUUCGGCCAUGAGUAAAGUGGCAGACGGGUGAGUAAUACAUAGGCAACUUACCUCUAAGAUGGGGAUAACCUUCCGAAAGGAGGGCUAAUACCGAAUGAGACCACGGUGGCUUUGGUCACUGAGGUUAAA